rnacentral:rRNA from 1 species
UACGAAGGGGGCUAGCGUUGUUCGGAUUUACUGGGCGUAAAGCGCACGUAGGCGGUUUGUCAAGUCAGGGGUGAAAUCCCGGAGCUCAACUCCGGAACUGCCUUUGAUACUGGCAAGCUAGAGUCCGGGAGAGGUAAGUGGAACUCCUAGUGUAGAGGUGGAAUUCGUAGAUAUUAGGAAGAACACCAGUGGCGAAGGCGGCUUACUGGUCCGGAACUGACGCUGAGGUGCGAAAGCGUGGGGAGCAAACAGG